UUGAUCAUCAUAUCUCUACAAGCAUAAAUCCCGUGUUUGAUAACUAUUUUUUGUCAGUAGAAAAUUAAUGAUUUGUGUUUUUCGGAGUCCGGUGCAUUUCUGACACGUAGUUAUCCGUUACCAAAUAUUCGUCGAGAAAGGUAAAGAAAGACUGCUCUAAAAUAUUUUUAUUUUUGUGAAAAUAUGUGACAGCCGUUGA
rnacentral:sRNA from 1 species